rnacentral:rRNA from 1 species
GACGAACGCUGGCGGCGUGCUUAACACAUGCAAGUCGAGCGGAGCGGCGAACGGGUGAGUAACGCGAGAGUAACUGCCCCCCUCUCUGGGAUAACCGCUGGAAAGGGCUGCUAAUACCGGAUAGUGGGGGAUGACUCGCGGCCUAUCCGCUUGUUGGUGGGGUGGUGGCCUACCAGGGCGACGACGGGUAGCCGGCCUUAGAGGGGGACCGGGCACAUUGGGCUGAGAUACGGCCCAGAGUCCUACGGGAGGCAGCAGUGGGGAAUAUUGCACAAUGGGGGAAACCCUGAUGCAGAAGCGCGCGUGCGGGAUGACGGCCUUCGGGUUGUAAACCGCUUUCAGCCAUGACGCGGUAGUGGCAGAAGAAGCACCGGCUAACUACGUGCCAGCAGCCGCGGUAAUAC